CUAAUUGGAAACUUCAAGUUUCUCUCUCUAUUUACAAAGGAGCUUUUGUUCCUUUUCUUUCAUCGCCCAGCAUUGGGGAACAAAUCUUCCUCGUACCAUCGAGAAACCGGACUCGAUACGGCUUAUGUUGUCAGUGGCCCUGAUAAACCCAACAAAGAAGUACACAAGUAAAUAACAAAAAGGCACAAUACCGUGACUGGAACGAUACACAAAUAACCCGCACAAGCACAAUUAUUAUAGUGUUUUCUUACCGGGACACUCGUCCUCGUCACACAUAUUCCUGUUGUUAGAUUCGGUUAAAAUCUUCACUAGACUUGUGUUAUGUUUGCAUUAGCAGAAAAGAUUUUGAGAGGAUGUUGAUGAGACACCAAAACAAAGACAGGCCUGGAGAAUUGUAGGUCAAAAAUACUGAAGGCACAUUGACCAUAUACUGUAACAUUAUCCAGGAAUGAGUUCCAUGUUGCGUCAAGGAUUAUGUAUCAGCCGAGGAAUUUUAGUAGCAUCGCACUUUCGACUAUCACCCACUGAUAUACGUACACCCCUAUAUCUCACCCAAAUGAAACACACUCCUGUCCAGUACAGAGCAUUACCUGUGCGAAUGAUGGGCACCAGUGCAGGUACAGGCUCAUUUGGACCCAUGAGCCUCAUUUUAUUAAUUGUUCCCAUUGGUACAUUCUGUCUUGGCACAUGGCAGGUGCAACGCAGAAAAUGGAAACUGAACCUUAUAGCAGAGUUAAAAGCAAAGACCACUGUACCUCCUAUUGAUCUUCCACAGGAGUAAGUUCU